AUAUUUCUUUCUCAUUACCUCGAUCACAUUAUCAGAAUAGACAAGUACACUAUUUUGCACUGAGGGACCUUUCUAGAUGAAAUUUAUGAUUGGGUGGCCAACAAAGGGGCCCGAAAAUUUUGAAUAAGACAAUUUUUACAUGAGACAUGGAUGGCAUGAUUUUUACCCAAAAGGGGGAAAAAGGAUGGCAUGAUACAAGUAGAUCACAAUGGGAUAUCAUAACAAAACACCUGCGGAUGACCAGACGGCACAAUCCUCCAUUGAAAUAACUUAACUGAUUGAAUCAAUAUCCUCACUGAACUGCUUUACUUGGAGAUCUGUCCUGAGGCCUACAUAAAACAGACAUCCGAAA